CUAUUUUACUGUAUGUUUCUGGUGAACUGCAGUUGCUUCAAUAUUAUUGCUUCAACGAUUAAAUGCUGGAAACUAUAAGGGGGAGUGCCUUUAAAAACAUCAAAUAAGUGUUUUUAAAGUGUUUUAAUGCACGUUAACCCCUUCGGGCUUUAUCUUUUCCAAGAAGGAAAAAACAAGGCAGUGUUUAGUGACCUCGUUGGUAAAGUAGAAGUUACAUAACGUACUCCGUCACGCUCUGAAUGGUUGACGAAGGCUUGAGGUUGAAAUAUUACUCAACUACAAUGCUUAAUCUGCAUGUUGUGACAGACAGAUAGGGAGGGAAGAGGCCGUUUUUUUCAAAGCUAUUAGUAAAUUACAAUCAUACUCAACUUGAGUUUACUUACUGAAACAUGCAGAGACUCAUACUAGCAUACUAGCAAUUACUAUAUAUGUGUCACAGUGAGCUUUAUAUAUUUACUAGGUAUGUGUGGUUUUUUUUUAUUUUUUUUAAAGGGAUGCCAAAUGCUGUCAUUUUUCUGUAAAGCAAAUUUACCUUGCCUUUGAGUAUAAAUAAAGUUACCUUGAACCUUGAACAUUUUGAUGGUAGAAAUUUUACUUCAUUUUAUUUCCAGACAGUUUGGUCAAAAAGGAUUUGAUUGCCAAAGGUUGCAAAGUUCCUACCAAACUGGUUGAAGUUGAAAACAGGCUACUGAAAGAGCCUCUUUAAUACAUGUAAUAAAAGCAAAUUCAAGUUCUUUUAGUUUUACAACUUUAGUCCCUGAAGUUUCACCUUGAACUGAAGUUAACUAUUAAAAUGAUUUAUAAAGCUCAUACUGAGUGAUACCUUUGGAACCAAGUUUUUGUAUCAUUGACUUUACUAUCAGUCUGCUUGUGUUUAUGAUGAGAAUGAAAGGCUGUUUUGACCUUUUGAAACUAUUGCUCAAGUGUCUUGGGAUACGAUUAUCUCAGUUAUGGUUUUACCUUUAGACUGUAUUGCAUACAAUUGCUUUGAUAGACCUUGCUUCAGUGUGUAUGUGUGUGUGUGUCUGUGUGUUCCUCUAUGCAUGCGUACGUGCCUUACGUGUAUAGUGCUCAGAAUCAGGUGACUUGGGUAAGGUCAGUUUUGACAGUAACAGCCAUGGUUGAUCAAUAACUAUUUCACAGAAAGCAGUGGUUAUGUUAGCCAUGUGUGUGUGUUGCAGUUCAAAUGACUGUAACAGGCUUAAAGACAUCGUGAAACGAAGAGUCAAACAAACACAGAAGAAAUAAUUGAACGGAUUAAUUACUAUGACUUAAAAUGCUUCCAGGAAAAG
ensembl:lncRNA